rnacentral:rRNA from 1 species
UCGAAACCUGCUUAGCAGAACGACCAGCGAACAUGUUUUCUACAUUGCGUGGGGAAGGGGUUGCUGGUUCUCCAGUCCCUCCCCAACGCUGGGGGGCAAUCCCUUCGGGUUUGCUCUUUGGCACAAUAACAAACCCCGGCGCGUAUGCGCCAAGGUACAUAAACAAGAGUGUGUGUAUCCUUGCCCGGGCAUCCGGUGCAAUGAUGUAUCACCCAAUUUAAGUCAUAAAACGACUCUCGGCAACGGAUAUCUCGGCUCUCGCAUCGAUGAAGAACGUAGCGAAAUGCGAUACUUGGUGUGAAUUGCAGAAUCCCGUGAACCAUCGAGUUUUUGAACGCAAGUUGCGCCCGAAGCCUUUUGGCCAGGGCACGUCUGCCUGGGCGUCACGCAUAGCAUCUCCCCCAACCCACCAAGUGUGAGAGGGAGAGGAUGAUGGCCUCCCGUGCCUCACUGGGCAUGGAUGGCCUAAAUAAGGAGCCCUCGGGCACAAAAUGCUGCGGCGUUAGGUGGUACACAUGGCCUUUGCCUAGAAAGCAUCACGCCAGGCAUUGCGUAGCCUAUGUGGGCUCAAAGGACCCUUAUAAACCUUUGCGACCCCAGGUCAGGCGGGAUUACCCG